rnacentral:rRNA from 1 species
CACGAAAGCUUGACUGUCUCCCCACUAAAAAAAGAAAUUCUUCUCUUUGUGAAGAAACGAAGAUAAAACCGUAAGACGAGAAGACCCUGUCGAGCUUAAGAAAAUUAUUAUAGGAUAUAAUAAUGCUAAUAACUACAUCUACUAUAAACCAUAUAAUAAUAUCUUUGGUUGGGGCAACCACGAAGAAAAAAAAACCUUUGUUCCUAAAAAAAAAAUUUACAAAUUUAAAAAUUUAAAAAACCAAAAGAUCCGGAAAAUACCGAUCAAAGAAAAAAGUUACCGCAGGGAUAACAGCGUUAUUCUCUUUGAGAGUUCAUAUUGACAAGAGAGUUUGCGACCUCGAUGUUGGACCGGGACACCCAAAAGGUGCAACACCCUCUAAAGGUAGGUCUGUUCAACCUUUAAAGCCCUAC